rnacentral:rRNA from 1 species
UUUAUUGGAGAGUUUGAUCCUGGCUCAGGAUGAACGCUGGCGGCGUGCCUAAUACAUGCAAGUCGAGCGAAUGGAUUGAGAGCUUGCUCUCAAGAAGUUAGCGGCGGACGGGUGAGUAACACGUGGGUAACCUGCCCAUAAGACUGGGAUAACUCCGGGAAACCGGGGCUAAUACCGGAUAAUAUUUUGAACUGCAUGGUUCGAGAUUGAAAGGCGGCUUCGGCUGUCACUUAUGGAUGGACCCGCGUCGCAUUAGCUAGUUGGUGAGGUAACGGCUCACCAAGGCAACGAUGCGUAGCCGACCUGAGAGGGUGAUCGGCCACACUGGGACU